rnacentral:lncRNA from 1 species
UUUUCUAACUUCGUCAACUAGGUCCUUUUUGAAUUAAUUCACAAUCCUAAAGCUAAUAUUAAGCAUUUAAUUUCUCAUAUAUUCGCUGUCACACAAAAAUUUACGUAAUUAAAACACAAAAAUAAAUUUUUGGCUAGGUAAUGUGGUCUCGAAACCACAUUCCGACCAGGGUCUAAUUUGGGUUGUCACAACCAUAUUGGGGAUUAAGUGUUAAUAAGAGAGU